rnacentral:lncRNA from 1 species
CCUUCCAAGGUGCUGGGAUUACAGGCAUGAGGCACUGCGCCAGCCUUCAACCAUGUUUUCAUUUCUUUAUUUUUGAGACAUGGUCUCCAUCUGUUGCCCAGGCUAGAGUGCAGUGAUGCAAUCAUGGCUCACUGCAGCCUCUACCUUCUGGGCACAAUUGAUCCUCCACAGCCAGCUAUGGGCAGAUCAGGCCAGCACCUCCUAAACCAGCCUGUACCUCCACUUCUCUGUGCUGAUUGUACCAUUCUGGUGGGGAAAUGUUGAUAAGGGGAGAGGCUCUGCAAGUGUGGGGAAGAGGGUAUGUGGGAAAUCUCUGUAUGAAAAAAAAAAAAAGGAUACUGAGGAGUAGGGUAACAAGCUCAUACCACAACCUGAAGGGCAGGUCAGCAAAGGAACUUUACAAUCAUCCCUGCAAAAAUAGGGGAGAGGAGCUGGUAGACAAGUCCACAGGGAUACCAGGGAGGCAGAAGUUGCAGUGAGCCAAGAUCAUGCCACUGCACUUCAAAGAACAAAACAUAGAUUGGUCAUUUCAAAAUUACUUUUCUUGUGGGGCAGGAACAGAAAAACAGAACAAUAGAGAAAUAACCGAUUGGUUACAUUCCAUCAUUUGUCAGAGCACCGAUGACAUCAGAGCAGCAUGGAGCCUCUGGAAAACUCCACUGGAUACUAGUGAGAGACUAAGAGUUAAAAGAACAGGCCAGGUGUGGUGGCUCAUGCCUGUAAUCCCAGCACUUUGGGAGGCUGAGGCGGGCGGAUCCUGAGGUCAGGAGUUCGAGACCAGUUUGACCAACAUGGUGAAACCCCAUCUCUACUAAAAAUACAAAAAUUAGCCAGGCAUGGUGGCACGCACCUGUAAUCCCAGCUACUGAGGAGGCUGAGGCAGGAGAAUCACUUGAACCUGGGAGGCGGAGGUUGCAGUGAGCCGAGAUCGCACCACUGCACUCUAGCCUGGGCGACAGAGCAAGACUCUGUCUCAAAAAAAAAAAAAAAAAAAUUACAAAUGACAUCGUAGUAUUCUUAUGAAAGUAGUUUUGACCUUGCAAUCUUCCUCCAGGGGUCCUUGGACCACACUUUCCGAAACUUUUAGAAACCCUGUUACAGAUAAUGAAAUAGACAGUUGGCCACACUUUCAGAAACUUUUAGAAACCCUGUUACAGAUAAUGAAAUAGACAGUUGAUAGAUUGUGACAAAACCAAGCACACAGACCUGGGCUCUUGACACCAAACCUGGGCCCUUUCUUUUAAAGCAGUCUGUGUCCCAGUGAAAUGCUAUCGCCUGGUGUCUCCUCUCCCCCUCCAGCCCCACCCCUCACUUCGCCAGCCUACCUACCUGGGCUGCCGUGCUUGUGUUUGACUGUAAAUAGCCAUUCAAUCUUGGAAUGUGUUUC